rnacentral:rRNA from 1 species
AUGGCGGAUCUCCUGCAGAAACUCUUGCUAGAGACCCUUCCACGGUCAUGGUUAUUUCUCUUCCUCUUCCUUCUCUUCCUCGUGUCUGUGCAUUACUGGUUCACCAGAAAGUUCAGUGUGAAAAGGCAGCGCCUCCCGCCUUCGCCGUCGGCGCUGCCCAUCAUCGGGCACCUCCAUCUCAUCAGUUCCCUCCCCCACGUCUCUCUCCGCGGCCUCGCAAGGAAGCAUGGCCCCGACGUGAUGCUGCUCCGUCUGGGCGCCGUGCAAAACCUCGUUGUAUCCUCCUCGCGCGCCGCCGAGGCGGUGCUGCGCACCCACGACCACGUCUUCGCAUCACGGCCCCACUCUGUCGUCUCCGACACCAUCAUGUACGGCUCAUCUGACAUCGGCUUUGUGCCAUACGGUGAGUACUGGCGGCAAGCACGGAAGCUUGUCACCACCCACAUGCUCAGCGUCAAGAAGGUGCAGUCUUUCCGCCGCGGAGGAGGUCAGCAUGGCGAUGGCUAA